GGGGGCGUACUGGUUUCGACUGGGUAGAUGCGCUGGGGGUUGCAUGCCGAGGAUGGUACGUUGGCCUCGUUAAUCACCGGACCAAAAAAUAACUGCUAACGAAGAAUUAGCUCUCGCGGCCUAAGCGCCCGGGCGUUGUCCCAUUGACACCUGCUAGGAGGGACUAACGCAGCAGCAGGAUCGGCUCGGAGCGGAGAUCGCGCGUGAAGAGCUCAAACUUAUUUCAUGCGAACUAUGCAGUACGACUCGUGUCAGGUCGGCAUCGUACAGCAGACAAUUAAAGCCUGAACAAGCAUGUAGAGGCCUUACGGUAGAUUUGCACAGGACGCGGGUUCAACUCCCGCCGCCUCCACCA
rnacentral:tmRNA from 2 species